UCGCUCUUCAACGAGGAAUCCCUAGUAAGCACAAGUCAUCAGCUUGUGCUGAUUACGUCCCUGCCCUUUGUACACACCGCCCGUCGCUACUACCGAUUGAAUGGCUUAGUGAGGCCUUCGGAUUGAUAAUCGAAGACUGGCAACAGUUUUUGGUUGUUAAGAAGUUGGUCAAACUUGGUCAUUUAGAGGAAGUAAAAGUCGUAACAAGGUUUCCGUAGGUGAACCUGCGGAAGGAUCAUUAUUAUUUGGACUGAGACUUAAUCGAAAAAUUAAGUCUCUCACCAAAUAUUAUUGAAUUUUAUCCUAUAUUUAAUAUAGGAGCAAGAUGAACUUUAUUUAAAACCCCACUCUUUAAAUAAUAUAUAAUUAUGAAUCAUAUAAAUAAAAAAGGUCACUUUCAACAACGGAUCUCUUGGCUCUCGCAUCGAUGAAGAACGUAGCAAAGUGCGAUAAGUAAUGUGAAUUGCAGAAUACCGUGAAUCAUCGAAUCUUUGAACGCAUAUUGCACUCUCUGGUAUUCCGGAGAGUAUGCCUGUUUGAGGGUCAGUUAAAAAAAAUCAAGCGUUAUUGCUUUGGUGAUGACGUUUGGAAUUGAGUCGUCUUAACCCUACGGUCAAGUGACUUAAAAUUUUUAAUGUGAUUUUCGAAACGUAUUUAAUAUUUUACUUACGUUUGCGAUAUCAAAUAAUCUAUUAGAUGUGAUCAUUUUCCAUGAUUCACGUCUAUAGUUUUCUCAUUAAAUGACCUCAAAUCAGGUAAGAGUACCCGCUGAACUUAAGCAUAUCAAUAAGCGGAGGAAAAGAAAAUAACAAUGAUUCCUUUAGUAACGGCGAGCGAAGGGGGAAAAGCUCAAAUUUUAAAUCUGCUGGGUCAUACCUAUCAGAGUUGUAUUUUGAAGAAACGUUUUCCGCGUCUCGGUUGGCCUAAAUCCUUUGGGAUAAGGUAUCAUGGAGGGUUAGAAUCCCGUCUGGCCGACCUUGUGAUGCUUUACGAUACGUUUUCUAAGAGUCGAGUUGUUUGGGAUUGCAGCUCAAAAUGGGAGGUAAAUUUCUCCUAAGGCUAAAUACCGGCGAGAGACCGAUAGCGAACAAGUACCGUGAGGGAAAGAUGAAAAGAACUUUGAAAAGAGAGUUAAAUAGUACGUGAAAUUGUUGAAAGGGAAACGAUUGAAGUCGGUCGUACUGGCGAAAAAUCAACUACUCGAGUGAGUACUUGUGGGCGUAUGUGAGCUUCACGGCCGCGUUGUUUGCAAUGUUCGUGCUCUUGUGGUGUACUUUUUCGUAUGGUAGGUCAAUGUCGGUUUUGGACGCCAUAAAAUGAUCGGAGGAAUGUAGCUUCGACCUCGGUUGAAGUGUUAUAGCCUUUGGUAGAUGUGGUGUUUGGGACCGAGGAUUGCAACGAAUACCCUUUGGGCUAUCCGUCUGAUCUCUGUUGGUUAGUUGGGUGCCGAAAGCUUGCUUACGGUCAUCUAAGUUGACUGUCAAUAGGUUAGAACGUGAUUACAUUCGUUAAGGACGUUGACGUAAUGGCUUUAAGCGACCCGUCUUGAAACACGGACCAAGGAGUCUAACAUAUAUGCGAGUGUUC
rnacentral:rRNA from 1 species